rnacentral:tRNA from 1 species
GGGGGUGUAGCUCAGUGGUAGAGCACUUGCCUAGCAUGCAGGCAGCCUCAGAUUCCACCCCCA